ACAUGCUUACAACAUAGCAUUAAUGCAUUGGAUCCCAUUAGAACUAUGUAGUUAAGCGCGCUCGAGCUAGAGUAGUAAUGGGAUGGGUGACCGCUCAGGAAGUCUUAGUAUUUUACAUGCC
rnacentral:rRNA from 1 species